UACAGAGGGUGCGGGCGUUACUCGGUUUUACUGGGUGCACAGGGUACGUAGGCUGGUCAUAGAGCGUAGCAAAUGAAAGGGCGGGGGUAAUUCCACGCAGCGCUUUUGCGCGCAAUAAUAAAUGACUCGAUGUUAGUGAGAGGUUGGGGCAAGUGGGUAGGUAAAAGUGAAAUUUUUAAAUCUACAAUCGAACGCCAAUGAGCGAAGGCACCCUUCUGGCAUUAACAGACGCUAAGGUACGAAAGCGUGGGUCGCAAAUGGG
rnacentral:rRNA from 1 species